rnacentral:piRNA from 1 species
UUCGAGAGCUGUUUCCUACGCUGCUUGUA